rnacentral:rRNA from 1 species
GAUGAACGCUGGCGGCGUGCCUAAUACAUGCAAGUCGAGCGAACAGACGAGGAGCUUGCUCCUCUGACGUUAGCGGCGGACGGGUGAGUAACACGUGGAUAACCUACCUAUAAGACUGGGAUAACUUCGGGAAACCGGAGCUAAUACCGGAUAAUAUUUUGAACCGCAUGGUUCAAUAGUGAAAGACGGUUUUGCUGUCACUUAUAGAUGGAUCCGCGCUGCAUUAGCUAGUUGGUAAGGUAACGGCUUACCAAGGCAACGAUGCGUAGCCGACCUGAGAGGGUGAUCGGCCACACUGGAACUGAGACACGGUCCAGACUCCUACGGGAGGCAGCAGUAGGGAAUCUUCCGCAAUGGGCGAAAGCCUGACGGGGCAACGCCGCGUGAGUGAUGAAGGUCUUCGGAUCGUAAAACUCUGUUAUUAGGGAAGAACAAAUGUGUAAGUAACUGUGCACAUCUUGACGGUACCUAAUCAGAAAGCCACGGCUAACUACGUG